rnacentral:tRNA from 1 species
AGCGGAGUAAAGCAGUUUGGUAGCUCACGAGGCUCAUAACCUUGAGGUCACGGGUUCGAUUCCCGUCUCCGCAC